GACGUAGGGCGCGAGCGUUGUCCGGAUUUAUUGGGCGUAAAGAGCUCGUAGGCGGCUUGUCGCGUCGACCGUGAAAACUCACAGCUCAACUGUGAGCUUGCGGUCGAUACGGGCAGGCUCGAGUUCGGUAGGGGAGACUGGAAUUCCUGGUGUAGCGGUGAAAUGACGCAGAUAUCAGGAGGAACACCGGUGGCGAAGGCGGGUCUCUGGGCCGAUACUGACGCUGAGGAGCGAAAGCGUGGGGAGCGAACAGG
rnacentral:rRNA from 1 species